rnacentral:lncRNA from 1 species
CUCUUCGUCAGGAGUUCUCAAUGGCCCCCAAGGUGCCUUUGUUUCCUCAAGGGGUUUUCAUAGCAUCCUCAGCUGUGGAAGGCAAUGUAUCGCAUCCUGUAUUACCUUCCCCUGACCUCAUAGCUUCCCAAAACAGGAACAAUCAUGGGCUUUGAAGUUACAGGAAUGCAGAUGUGAUUCCUAUGGAUGAGGGUAACCUAGAGGCUAGAAGAACAAUAGGACAGAAGAAGCCUGGGUCCCUGAACAACCUUGUGGAGCAUAGACACCUACGUGGCCUGGACUGCCAGCUCACAAUGGGCCUCUCUGUGAGAGAAGGAAACUUCCCUCUUGUU